GCCCCGUAAUCGGAAUGAGUACACUUUAAAUCCUUUAACAAGGAUCCAUUGGAGGGCAAGUCUGGUGCCAGCAGCCGCGGUAAUUCCAGCUCCAAUAGCGUAUAUUAAAGUUGUUGCGGUUAAAAAGCUCGUAGUUGGUUCUGCGUGCCGCGCUGUCGGUUCGCCGCCUGUCGGUGUAACUGGCAUGUCGCGGCAUGUCCUGUCGGUGGUGAACGGAGUCCACAAUGCUACAUAGGCUUUAUAGCCGAUGUUAGCGUCGUGUGUACUUCCGUUGGCCGAUCUCUCCUACUUCGGUGCUCUUAAACGAGUGUCGAGGUAGGCCGACACGUUCACUUUGAACAAAUUAGAGUGCUUAAAGCAGGCUAAAAUCUCUGCCUGAAUAGUGGUGCAUGGAAUGAUAAAACAGGACCUCGGUUCUAUUUUGUUGGUUUUAGGAAUAUGAGGUAAUGAUCAAUGUGGACUGGCGGGGGCAUUCGUAUUGCGACGUUAGAGGUGAAAUUCUUGGAUCGUCGCAAGACGCACUAGAGCGAAAGCAUUUGCCAAGUAUGUCUUAAUUGAUCAAGAACGAAAGUUAGAGGUUCGAAGGCGAUCAGAUACCGCCCUAGUUCUAACCAUAAACGAUGCCAGCCAGCGAUCCGCCGAUGUUCCUUUAAUGACUCGGCGGGGAGCUUCCACCCGGGAAACCAAAGCUUUUGGGUUCCGGGGGAAGUAUGGUUGCAAAGCUGAAACUUAAAGGA
rnacentral:rRNA from 8 species